rnacentral:rRNA from 1 species
GAUGAACGCUAGCGGCAGGCCUAAUACAUGCAAGUCGAACGGUAAAUAUUUAGCAAUAGAUAUGAGAGUGACGUACGGGUGCGUAACACGUAUGCAACCUACCCUUUACAGGCGGAUAGCUCGGGGAAACUCGAAUUAACCCGCCGUAAUAUCAUUGAGUGGCAUCACUUGAUGAUUAAAUCUACGGAGGUAAAGGAUGGGCAUGCGUCUGAUUAGUUAGUUGGCGGGGUAACGCCCACCAAGACGAUGAUCAGUAGGGGAACUGAGAGGUUGAUCCCCCACACUGGCACUGAGAUACGGGCCAGACUCCUACGGGAGGCAGCAGUAGGGAAUAUUGGUCAAUGGAUGGAAGUCUGAACCAGCCAUGCCGCGUGCAGGAAGAAGGCCUUCUGGGUUGUAAAACUGCUUUUGCCAGGGGGAUAAAAAUGACCUUGCGAGGUUAAAUUGAAGGUACCUGGUGAAUAAGCCACGGCUAACUAACGUGCCAAGCAGCCGCGGUAAU